CAGUAGCCACGGUAAUACGUAGGUCCCGAGCGUUGUCCGGAUUUAUUGGGCGUAAAGCGAGCGCAGGCGGUUAGAUAAGUCUGAAGUUAAAGACUGUGGCUUAACCAUAGUACGCUUUGGAAACUGUUUAACUUGAGUGCAGAAGGGGAGAGUGGAAUUCCAUGUGUAGCGGUGAAAUGCGUAGAUAUAUGGAGGAACACCGGUGGCGAAAGCGGCUCUCUGGUCUGUAACUGACGCUGAGGCUCGAAAGCGUGGGGAGCAAACAGGAUUAGAUACCCCGGUAGUCCCUGUCUCUUAUACC
rnacentral:rRNA from 1 species